GCCUGUGGGGGAGGGAGUGAGGUCUCAUCCCCCUUCCCAGGCAGUGUGGGCCUUGAGCCUCAGGAGGGCCCAACAGAGCUGGACAGCCCAUCAGUCACUGAAGGUCGAAUGGCGCAGCAUCAGGAGUUAGGGGCAGGGCCCACUUUUUCCGUUCUGCCUCCAUCUGCCAGGAGGGGCAGGGGCCCUAUGCAAAGAUUCAUCCCAAAGGCACGUCUCUGUCCAUACCAGGAGUAACUGCUGCUUCCCUGAUCAAAGCACUGGGCAAUUACAUUGCUUCCCUUCUAUUCUGUCACGGAAUCAGCCCAGAAACCCUGGAAACCCACAGCGAUGAACUCUCUGAUUGCCUGAAGCCAUUCUCGGGAUGGGAGCUAGCAGGUGCUGACUUCUUGCCCUGGGAAGGGAAGAACAUGGCUCUCUGCUUGGAUCUUCUCCUCCGAUGAGUCCUCAAGUUUCAUUCAUUUGACAAAUAUGAACUGGCACCCGCUAUGGACCGGACACUGAGAACACAAUAGUGAGGAAAUGGGAGUUAUCCUUGGGCUUGAAAAUGACAGCUCCAAGGAAAUGAGGUUGGGCCCGGGUACCAUCAAAGUCAGCAGCUCAGACCCUGUGUACAGGCAAAAAGAGGGAGCCAAGGAGAACUGGGUCUUGGGGGUUGCCUGAAACCCAAACAUGGGGCCCCCUUUUUAAAAAAAUAAACUUAAAAAAAAUUUUUUU